AGAGUUUGAUCAUGGCUCAGAUUGAACGCUGGCGGCAGGCCUAACACAUGCAAGUCGAACGGUAACAGGAAGCAGCUUGCUGCUUUGCUGACGAGUGGCGGACGGGUGAGUAAUGUCUGGGAAACUGCCUGAUGGAGGGGGAUAACUACUGGAAACGGUGGCUAAUACCGCAUAACGUCGCAAGACCAAAGAGGGGGACCUUCGGGCCUCUUGCCAUCAGAUGUGCCCAGAUGGGAUUAGCUAGUUGGUGAGGUAACGGCUCACCAAGGCGACGAUCCCUAGCUGGUCUGAGAGGAUGACCAGCCACACUGGAACUGAGACACGGUCCAGACUCCUACGGGAGGCAGCAGUGGGGAAUAUUGCACAAUGGGCGCAAGCCUGAUGCAGCCAUGCCGCGUGUAUGAAGAAGGCCUUCGGGUUGUAAAGUACUUUCAGCGGGGAGGAAGGUGUUGUGGUUAAUAACCACAGCAAUUGACGUUACCCGCAGAAGAAGCACCGGCUAACUCCGUGCCAGCAGCCGCGGUAAUACGGAGGGUGCAAGCGUUAAUCGGAAUUACUGGGCGUAAAGCGCACGCAGGCGGUCUGUCAAGUCGGAUGUGAAAUCCCCGGGCUCAACCUGGGAACUGCAUUCGAAACUGGCAGGCUUGAGUCUUGUAGAGGGGGGUAGAAUUCCAGGUGUAGCGGUGAAAUGCGUAGAGAUCUGGAGGAAUACCGGUGGCGAAGGCGGCCCCCUGGACAAAGACUGACGCUCAGGUGCGAAAGCGUGGGGAGCAAACAGGAUUAGAUACCCUGGUAGUCCACGCCGUAAACGAUGUCUACUUGGAGGUUGUGCCCUUGAGGCGUGGCUUCCGGAGCUAACGCGUUAAGUAGACCGCCUGGGGAGUACGGCCGCAAGGUUAAAACUCAAAUGAAUUGACGGGGGCCCGCACAAGCGGUGGAGCAUGUGGUUUAAUUCGAUGCAACGCGAAGAACCUUACCUGGUCUUGACAUCCACAGAACUUUCCAGAGAUGGAUUGGUGCCUUCGGGAACUGUGAGACAGGUGCUGCAUGGCUGUCGUCAGCUCGUGUUGUGAAAUGUUGGGUUAAGUCCCGCAACGAGCGCAACCCUUAUCCUUUGUUGCCAGCGGUUAGGCCGGGAACUCAAAGGAGACUGCCAGUGAUAAACUGGAGGAAGGUGGGGAUGACGUCAAGUCAUCAUGGCCCUUACGACCAGGGCUACACACGUGCUACAAUGGCGCAUACAAAGAGAAGCGACCUCGCGAGAGCAAGCGGACCUCAUAAAGUGCGUCGUAGUCCGGAUUGGAGUCUGCAACUCGACUCCAUGAAGUCGGAAUCGCUAGUAAUCGUGGAUCAGAAUGCCACGGUGAAUACGUUCCCGGGCCUUGUACACACCGCCCGUCACACCAUGGGAGUGGGUUGCAAAAGAAGUAGGUAGCUUAACCUUCGGGAGGGCGCUUACCACUUUGUGAUUCAUGACUGGGGUGAAGUCGUAACAAGGUAACCGUAGGGGAACCUGCGGUUG
rnacentral:rRNA from 4 species